UCGAAGCUAGCGCUAGCACAGUGCAACGCUAAACACAUUGCCCCCCCUCGCUUGAGGGAAAGCGUCGAUCGCACAUCGCCCGGGGUGAAACCCAAAUGAUGUCGACGGUCGAUGCGGCGACGGACCGAUUCCUGCGCUCGGGAUCGAUGCGUCGUUUAACUGGUGUUCAUGUUCGGGUGCAUCGGUCUCAAGGCUUGAAGUGUCGUCGCUCUCGGCGAUCGCCCGAGUGUUUUUCUUUCGCGACGUAAGCGUCGAUGGGUACCUGUCCCGGCGGCGGCGACUUGGUCGUUGCCGUCGGGUGGAGCAGCCGCCUUUGCCAGGUUUGAAGAAUCGACCGAGAUCGAUCGCCCUAGCUUACGCCGCAAACCGUUACUCUCACUACCGUUUCACAUUAUACGCGAUUGAAAUGCUUGACGUCUUCCGGUCGAUGCCUUCCGGGAGCGUUAUGGCGAAAAUAAAUCGA
rnacentral:misc_RNA from 1 species